rnacentral:rRNA from 1 species
CCUACGGGAGGCAGCAGUGAGGAAUAUUGGUCAAUGGGCGGAAGCCUGAACCAGCCAAGUCGCGUGAGGGAUUAAGGCCCAGCGGGUUGUAAACCUCUUUUGUCGGGGAGCAAAAGCCGGACGUGUCCGGCUGUUAGAGUACCCGAAGAAAAAGCAUCGGCUAACUCCGUGCCAGCAGCCGCGGUAAUACGGAGGAUGCGAGCGUUAUCCGGAUUUAUUGGGUUGAAAGGGUGCGCUGGCGGAUUUUUAAGUCAGCGGUGAAAUCGUGGGGCUCAACCCCAUCAAGCCGUUGAAACUGGGGAUCUAGAGUGUGCGAGAGGUAUGCGGAAUGCGUGGUGUAGCGGUGAAAGGCAUAGAUAUCACGCAGAACCACGAUUGCGAAGGCAGCAUACCGGUGCACAACUGACGCUCAGGCACGAAAGCGUGGGUAUCGAACAGGAUUAGAUACCCGAGUAGUC